rnacentral:rRNA from 1 species
AUGACGGCGGCGGGGCCGGGAGCGGGGCCGGGGGCGGAGGCCCAGAUGGGGAAGGACAGGGACGUGGUGCGGCUGGAGCGCGAGUCGGUGAUCCCCGUCAUGAAGCCCAAGCUCAUCAUGAAGCUCGCCUACCUCAUUGAGCACGAAAACGACAGGGAAGAAUUCCUGAAGCUCUGCAAGAGGGUGGAGUACACCAUCAGAGCUUGGUAUCAUCUCCAGUUUGAUGAUAUGAUGGAGCUGUAUGCUCUCUUCGACCCUGUGCAGGGUGCCAAAAAACUGCAGCAGCAGAACUUCUCGUCCGAGGAAAUCGAUACACUCGAGCAGAACUUCCUGACCUAUUUCUUUCAGGUGAUGCAAAAAAGCAAUUUCAACAUAUUAUCUGACGAUGAGGUUGAGCUUGCUCAUUCUGGACAAUACCUAUUGAAUCUUCCAAUUAAAGUUGACGAAGCAAAGUUAGAUAACAAACUUUUGUCGAAGUAUUUCAAGGAGCACCAUCAUGACAACCUACCUGAGUUCUGUGAUAAGUACGUCAUAUUUCGGAGGGGCAUAGGACUGGACCGCACUAGCGAUUUUUUCUUCAUGGAGAAAGUGGACAUGGUCAUAACUCGUACAUGGCGAUGGCUGUUACAGAAGACGAGACUGCAAAGGCUCUUCUUGAGAAAGAAAAAGGUCAAGCCAGUGAUAGAUUCCAAGAAAGAUGAUGAUCUAGUUGGUGAAGGGGACGACAAGGAGCUAUACGUUGAACGUAUACGACUUGAAACAAUGAAAUUGAGCCUGCGCAAUUUAAUUGGCAAGGUUACAAUUCAGGAGCCUACAUUUGAAGAGGUGAUUGUCUUGUACAGGAAGAAAAGCCCGAAGGGCCAGGAUGAUAGAGCAAUUCAGGUUAAACACUUCAAAAAUAUUCCGAUGGCAGAUAUGGAGUUGGUUCUGCCUGAGAAGAAAAACCCGAGCCUCACGCCAAUGGACUGGGUUCAGUUCAUUGUUUCUGUUGUUAUUGGGCUUGUUACACUCGUCGGUUCACUCGAAAUGCCUAAAGCUGAUUUCUGGGUUGUGAUUGCCAUCCUUUCUGCUCUGGCUGGAUAUUGUGCUAAGAUCUAUUUCUCGUUUCAACAGAACAUGGCAACCUAUCAAAACCUAAUCACUCAGUCAAUGUAUGACAAACAACUAGAUAGUGGGAAAGGCACACUUCUGCACCUCUGUGAUGAUGUGAUUCAGCAGGAAAUCAAGGAGGUCAUAAUCGCAUACUAUAUAUUGAUGGAAAACGGAAAAGCUACUGUUGAGGAUCUUGAUUUGCAAUGCGAGGAGCUAAUCCAGGAAGAGUUUGGUUUGCAAUGUAAUUUUGAGGUGAUGGAUGCUCUUCAAAAGUUAGAGAGAUUUGGUAUUGUUACAAGAGAUUCUAUAGGAAGAAUUGUUUGCGUUCCUCUAAAGCGAUCCAAUGAGAUCAUUGGUGCUACUACUGAGGAGCUGGUUAUGAAAGCAAGACAAAGCUAG